AUUUUUCUCUUGAAAAUGUGGAAAUCUAAGAAGAUAGAAGAUUAUUUAUCAAACUAACACUCAUUUACGCAUAGGUCUAGAUUGUGACAUUUGAACCUAUUAGUUACUAUACUAGUGUUUUAGGUUUGACAAUUAUUAAAAAAAUGUACAAACCAGAAUGGUAUAAAAGAAAAUAAAUAUCACAGAAGUAGUUUCCAAUCCAUCUUUAUAUUUAUUUAUAUAAUAAUAUUAGAAGCAAAUCUAUUUCAAGGCAUCUCUAUUUUUUUUUUGAAAUUAGAGAUUACUAUUUAUCUUGAUAAAAAAAAGAGAUUACUAUUUCUCUCUAUAUUUAAAGCAAGAAAUGAUAUUUAUUUAUAUUUAGUACUUUUAAUAUAUUACUUUUAGCUUUAUACUGGAAGCUUUAUACAGUAAACUAUAUGUAGUACAGUAGUGGAUUAGAUCAGACCAGGCUUGGUAGGCCAUGGGGACUCUGGCUGGCGAUAGCUAAUUGGUUCGGUCUUGAACUAUGUUUUGAACGAACCAAACAAAACGUUGCAUCGAGCAGAAUCGGGCCCGACUUCAUCUUAUCAACAACAUAGGUCAGAUGGUGGAUUCUUUAUUAUCAAAAAUUAAUUUUUCAGUUUUAGGCAAAAAGAUAUAUACAAAUUACUUUUUGACGACGGGACCCAGAUUCAACAAGUUGCACAUCCAAGGGGCCAUAUGGAUUAAUUGCACUAUGAAUCAGAAUGAUGAAAAAGUUAUUAUGUUGUUUCUUCAUGUCUUUAUUUUAUUAAAAGGUUAGUUUACUUUCGUCAUCAACUUGAAUCUGACAGACAGGACGCGAUAUUUAAUUUUUUAGAUACUUUGAUCUAGAAUUAGAUGAAAAAUCUCAUGUAAAAUAUUGCAAUACAUUAUUAGUAGUUAUAAACUUAUAACUUUAAUAUAUAAACAUCUUGACUGCAAUACAUUAUUAGUAGUUAUAAACGUAUAAUUUUAAUAUAUAAACAUCUUGACUGCAAGACAUUAUUAGUAGUCAUAAACUUAUAAGUUUGUUCAAAAAAAAAAGAUUGCAAUACAUUAUUAGUAGUUAUAAGCUUAUAAUUUAAAUAUAUAAGCAUCUUGACUGGUAAGAAAUUUCUUAUAAAUAAACCAUAGGAAUUUGUAUUUUUGACCAAGGAUUCAUUGUAUAAUUAUUCAGGUCCUCUAGUCGCAAAGUUAUAGAGUCAUAGACACGAGUCUUGUGCAAUCAUACAUUUUUACUUGAUUAAAGUAUUAUGCAUACAAGUAAUUUGUGAAGAGUGGGUAAUCUAUACAUAUACUUAAUCUAGAUCCAACAAACAUUUUUAUUGAUUUAGUUUAAUACAUAUAAACCUUAAUCAAAACCAAAAGCAAAGCUUCUAUACAAGUUGCUUUUAACAACCAACUCGAGUUGGCCUAGUGGUACUUGAGGGAGCUUCGGCCCCGAUACGGUCCCGGGUUCGAUUCGCGUUGGCCACGAGGGGAUUUACAUGGGCUCCUCUCGCCCUCCAGACCACUUCGCGUAACCAGGGGCCCUUAAGUGGACGCUUAAAAAUCCUGUAAUGGCAUGGGCUUAGGCCCGGUGGGCUAGUCGAUCACGCAAAAGUGGUCGGAUACUGGAUUAUCAAAAAAAAAAAGUUGCUUUUAACCUAACCAAAAAUUUCAAUCUUUUUUUUCUUUUCUUAUAAUUAUUUUCUUUCAAGGUACUAUUGAAUAAUGACCACUUUUUUUUUAUGUUAAUGUACUUCUCUUCGAAUUAUUGUGCUCAUCCUAAAAUAUGAAUAUCCCAGCGGAGAAACUCUGCUCGCCGGCACAAGGAGAGCUUAAAACGUCGACGUUUCCGGAGACUUGCGAUUUACAUUUCUCAUUUUGUUCGUCCUGCAUUAUCUGCACUGAUCUGCACUCCGCACUGCAGAAUCCCAUCUCUCCUCUGCACACAA
rnacentral:lncRNA from 1 species